GUGGACAUGAAACAUUACAUUUAUAGCGUUUUAUAUAAGUUAAGUAUAGUUUUAAUUUAUUUAGAGAUGAAAAUUAUGGCAAUAUAAUCGUAGAUCAUUCAAAAAAAAGACAUUUCGGAUACAUUAGUUAUGCAGGCCAUUAUUAAUAUUCGCCGCCAUCUUGUUUAUGACAUCAUCGGGUGUGUUGCAAAAUUCUUCCGGUAUCUCUGUGUUGGUUGGUUCGGUUACUCUGGGAUACUGUGCUCUGCUGCUGCUCACCCGUAGCCUGCUAAAAACUUAGCUAAACUAUGGAGGAUGAAGUGGAGAGAUUUAGCGAAUCCCACGGCUUUCACCCAAUGGUUUAUGCUUUCGAGCCAAUAGUGAAGGAACUGCGUAGCAUUGCCACUACUGGGCAUAUGGAAGCAGGACUAGGGCUAUGCGAAUCGGUUUCGGGAGGUGUGAGCAGGGUGGGCAACAUUGACUGGUGCGUGUGUAAUCAUUGCCAGCCCAUGUGCACGUCGUGGGAGUCAAGGUGUUGCCUUGAGACUGAUUUGGACCAUUUGAUCGAGGGUGAGGCGUGUAUCACCAUGUCUCAGAUGUUCAGCAUCUUCUGCCUUGAAAACGACGUAUUGGAAGUGGCGAUGCUGUCACUACGAGAGGUACGAGGGGAGCCACUGAAGCUGCCCAUCAACAGCAGUCUGUACAGGUUAAUGGCAUACAGGCAGUUCACUCUCUGGGCAAGAGGACACCUGGGGAGGAGAAACAGGAUGCCAAUACCAGCCUGCGUUGUAACCACCAUACGGCACCUAUACCCAUCGCCACAAUAUCAUGGAUUUGAAUACUCUUUUUAAAUCAAAUAAUAACUAUAUUAUAUGUACAACACUUCAAUUUGAACCACAUUCUUUUGCACUUAACAUUUGGAAUGUGACAGAAUUAUUAUAUUAGCCCACAUUACAUUAAUGAAACCAUGUAAGUAUCAUUUGUUUUGUAUUGUGAUUGUUUAUCGAUCCUGUGUGUGAUUUUGUUUUUAUUUAGGAGCUCCUGGUGCAAAUCGGCUGAGAUGCCUUCGUAUUGAAAAGGCCUUCUCAGGCUUUACAACACCUUUGUGCUGUUCCAGUGUGACCACUGGGUCGGGGUCUGACUGUUGCAGUGCUGCUUGGAUGGAAACAGAUCUGCACCUCUUGACUACACCUGACACAAUGUCCUUCCUAAAACUAUAGUCCUUGUUCACUUUCCUGGGAGUGGUGAUGUAGUGUUGUGCUCCCUUUGAGAACUUGUGUUUGAAUUGUUUUCUCCAGUCUCUUCAGGAGGACCUUGUCCAGAACCACCUUCUGGAGGACUUCAAAGCAGCUGAGUCAGGCUGUAACCAGGGAUGCAUUCUUUCUUCCUCAGCUGUGUAAGGUGCAUGUUCACAGUUUGUCAUCGUUUCUCCACAGGUCCACUCGUGAACAUUUGUGAUGUGGAGCAAGUCUGUAGCCAACACGGACACUGACACACCAUGCUCCUUCAGCUGUGAUAGGCACCUCUCCAUGCCCUCUACCUCCAACCAAUAGCUUUUUUUUUUUUUUUUUUUACUUCCGUCACCUCCACAGUCUCCUGUGCCAGCACCAGGCCUGAGUUGGUGUCAAGGAGGGAGUAAGUUCCGAAUGUGGUAUUGUGUCCAGGGCUGUCAUAUCUACAAUCACCACACAGCAGGAGUGGUUCAUCCCCUGCAGCAGCCAGCAGAGACUCAUUAUGGGUGGUCCAUACAUUUUUUACCUCACUGUCACUCUCCUCACUGUCACUCUCCUCACUGCUUUCUAGGUGGUCUUCUCUCAUUUCAAAAUCCUCGUCUGACUCCUCCUCUUCCAUUGCACUACCCUCAUCUAAGUUAUCCCACUCUGUGUCACUUGAGCAGGCGGCAGGCUUUGGUGCUGGCAAGGGUGUUAAGUCCCGCACUGGCUUGCUGUAAGGAUGGUCAUGGUUAAUCCAACUGUCAAUGUUGCCUGUCAUUGUGCCUUUACUGUACUGAUGCACUUCAUCAGUCUGUGUGCCUACACUCACGGUUUUAGGUAGGCCUAAUUGAUGUUCUUGCAGAAUGUCACACUCAGUAGUACUUUCACCGUCUACCUCAAAAUUAAUGGAUGUAUGCCUGACCUACAGAAAUAAAGAAUAUGUUUGCAGUUCAAA